UUAAGAGCUGAAAACGACAUAUUAGAAUGCAUUUCAUUUUAGGAGGAAUACAUUCUUCAGCAGUGUUCAUAAAUCGUCAGCCCCAAUUUGUUUGUCAUUCGUUCGAAAAUUACACGCAAAACCACUGUCAGUUACAAUCUGUGUGUCAGUUAUAAAUCCGGCCAAAACCAAUCAGUCAGUCAAACUGUUUAAAAUUGGCAGAGCGAUUAAAACCGGAAACAGCAGAUGGGCAAGGACUUUUAAAAAGCAUUACACCAGCAGUGAGACAAAAGUCUUUUCAGAUUCCCUACUGUGGCUUGCAGCAAGAGAAGACAAGCGGUUGCCAGCAGCAACCCAAAGUUGUUGAUUAGACUUGCUUCACACCUAAAUGAAUCUAGCUGCUUUUCAGCUGAGAGGCACAAUGGCUGCAGUGUGCAUUAAAAGAGCUUCCUCACAUUUGGGGAUUGCAUUGAAGCUUCCUGAAAUCGCACACCCCUUAUCAAGGCUGGGGGACCCUGAGACUCUCUCUGUAGCAGGGUGUUCCACACAGGGGGACCUAGAGGGCAGGCAUGGCAGGACUGUGGAGAAGGGGAGAGCUUCAAUCAAGAGAGAUAUCAAGAUCCUCACUCCAGGGCACCUAAAAAAAACACAGGCUGGACAAACUAGACAGCUGGAGAAAGCUGGACAAGAGGGUCAAUGUAGACUGUAAACAAUGGGCAGAGGGCAGGAGUGUGUGUCGAGAGGGCAGCCAGGUCUCCUCACGGCCUGCAACACAAGUCACACUGCAGAUUGAAGUGAAUCGCGGCUCCUGACAGAAUAUUGGGAGCCCUUAUUAUUAUCAAAGUUUUUGGGAAGAUUCAUCAGUGCAAAACAAUGUACUUCUCUUUUAACCAGAGCUUUCAGGGAGAAGCCCUUCAAUGUCCCAGGAGCAGAGAACCCUCUCCCUGGAUAUAGAGGAGUGGCUGAAGGAGAAGUUUGCAGAGGGACUCAAGGGGAUGCUGGCUGAGUUCCAACGAUUUGACACCAACAAUUCUGGAAAGGUUUUCUAUGAGAGUGAUGGGUGAAGAGCUUGAGUGUCUGCUGGAGAAAGCUCCCCUGGAUAAACUUGGAAAUGUUAGAUAUGUGGAAUUCCUGGGCAGGUUUGACAGCAGAUUAAAGACCUAUAUCUUCACCCAGAACAGUUUAGCAUUGAAAAUGGACUACUGCCCCCAACUCUGAAGGCAAAGAGAGCAGAGCUGACCAAAGUCUUCAAAGACGAAAUCGACAAGCUUUAUGUAUGACUGCAGUGAAUCCUGUACCUGAUGCAGUGUCAGUUUUGUUUCUUCUGAAUAUAUAUGGACUCUUGUGCCUCACUGAUCCACAGAGUGAAAGUGUGUGAAAGAGCUGCACUGUGGACUUCCAAAGGAAGGCUAUUCAAUAGGCUCCUCAAUGUAGCUCAGCGAAAGCUGCACAGUCAUGAACUGUACAAGAUUUACAUGUAUACUGCAGAUGUGAUAUUUUCACAACAGUUCUAAAGAUGACAACCAUCCGGUGUAUUUGAAAACAUUUUCCAUCAUAUUAGAAACUAGAAGUAUUUUUUCAAUUGUAUUCUAGUUUGCAAACAAUAAAUAUACCUGUUCACAACAGUCAGUGUACCAUACCUGGAUGCAGCUGUGAAAGCUAUGAAUUUAAACUGCUAUAAAAGAUCCCCAACAACGAAUACAAGUGUCACAUUUGUAGAGAAUAUUUUUUUGUAAUAUUGUUAAUAUAUGGAUUGAAAUUAAUAAUAAAUCAAACUCGGGUGCAAUAUGAUUUAUUUUUUUUUAAAUCUGAAGGCAUAAUACGUAGGGUUGUGUUACAAAAUAUAAUUAAAAAAAUGUAUUUGCACCAUACAAAGGAUACAUUGAAAUGCAUGCGAAAACACUGCUUUUACUAAUUGCAUAAUUCCAAAACAAUACUUAAAAAAAAAAAAAAAAAAAAAAAGCAGGUUCAAGUAAGGGGUUGUUCUGUUGAAAGAACAAUUGUCAAAAGCACCGAAUGACAUAUACCCGGAUUUAAAAAAAAAAAUAA